rnacentral:misc_RNA from 1 species
ACUUUGUCAAUACUAUAUAAGAUAUAUUAAUAUAUAAUAGUUUUUAAGAUUAAUUUUGUGUACUAGUCCUUAAGAUUACUUAAUAUAUCAUCUAUAUUAUUAUAUUAUAUAAAAAAAAAAAAAAAAAAAAAAAAAAAAAAAAAAAAAAAAAAAAAAAAAAAAAAAAAAAAAAAAUACUCUGUAAAUCAAUAAUAAAAAAAAAAAACAUAAAUGUGCAAUCAAAAAAGAUCAAUAUAUAUACAAAAAAAAAAAAAAAAAAAAAAAAAAAAAAAAAAAAAAACCAUCAAAAAAAAAAAAAAAAAAAAAAAAAAAAAAAAAAAAAAAAAAAAAAAAAAAAAAAAUCAUCAGCGAA